AUGGUCUCUGAACACAAAGGCUUGUCUCAACCAUUCCAAACUGCAACCUGUGUUUCCUUUUCAGAUUCCAAGGUCCAACCGAAGCUCUUCCCCCUAAUCCGAGUCAGCUCUGAUAGUGACUCAGUAGUCAUAGGCUGCUUGGCUUACAGCUUCUUCCCAGAGCCUGUGAACAUAACCUGGGAAAGUGGUUCCGAAGGCACAGUGAGGAGCUACCCAGCUGUGCUGAUUGGCAGCACCUACACUCAAACCAGUGUGCUAGACCUUCCUGCGGAUCAGUGCCCUGAUACCAAGAGCUAUCAGUGCCAAGUAGAACACUACACAGCUACUAACAACGUGGAGGUUUCCUGCGAAAGCUGCGAAGGGAUCGACAAGGAUACUGGUUGCACAACAUCAACUACACAUGUAUCCCUGAGUCCUCCCUCCCUGGAGAGCUUGCUCCUGGGCACAGGCGUAAACCUGACAUGUACACUCAGCGGCCUCAACGAUGGUAAUGGAGCCGAGUUUACCUGGACGCACAUUUCAGACGAGUCAUCAACUUCCAGCAUUAUCGAGGGAACACCUGAGAAGGACUCCAGUGGCAAGUACAGUGUGACCAGUGUCCUGGAGAUCUGUGCUGAGGAGUGGCUCCGUGGGGAUACUUUUUCCUGUACUGUGUCCCACUCUGAGAUAGAAACUAUUACCAAGACCAUCGCCAAGGAACAAGUGACCCAGAUACCACCCCAAGUCUACCUGCUGCCCCCAUCUGCAGAUGAACUAGCUUUAAAUGAACUGGUCUCAAUCACAUGCCUGGUGAGGGGUCACAGCCCAUCGGAAGCGUUGAUACAGUGGCUGAAGGGGUCUGAGAAGUUGCCCGGAGAGGACUACAUCAUCAGUGGCCCUUACCCAGAACCAAAGGGCAACAGCACCUUUCUAAUUUCCAGCAUCCUCCAAGUCUCAGCCUCUGAAUGGAAGGCAGAAAACAAAUACACCUGUGUGGUAGGCCAUGAAGCUCUUCCCCUGAACUUCACCCAGCAAACUAUCGACCAAUUCUCUGGUAAACCCACCAAUGUCAAUGUAUCUGUCAUCCUGUCUGAUGUCUAUGGCACUUGCUAUUAAACCUAGCCUAAACCAUCAGGCCCCCAUCACUGCCCAGAAAUUGAGUUACAAGGCAAGAGUGAAGGGGAAGUAGAUCUAUAGAAAAGUAUCUAAUGGAAUAAAUCUUGACACUCAGAAGCAA